AGCUUUACUAUAGCUUGACAUUGGUAUGGGGCAUAACUUGCGCAGGAUAGGUGGGAGGCUUUGAACCUCGAUCUCUGGAUCGGGGGGAGCCAUCCUUGAGAUACCACCCUUGUUAUGUCUUAUGUCUAACUCCGGCCUUCAAAAGCUUCUACGGUUAGUGUUUUUUAGUUUUAGUCUAUUUUUAAAUAUGGGCUAGUUCUAACAAUCACUAACUUCACUAGAGGUUUCUGCAGGUCGGAGAACAGUGUUUGGUGGGUAGUUUGACUGGGGCGGUCGCCUCCUAAAUUGUAACGGAGGCGCGCAUUAUGGUUCUCUUGCACCGGAUGGAAAUCGGUGUGAAAGUGUAUUCGCAUAAGAGAGCUUAACUGUGAGACCUACAAGUCGAGCAGGUGCGAAAGCAGGCGAAAGUGAUCCGGUACUUCCACGUGGGUGGGGUAUCGCUCAACGGAUAAAAGUUACGCCGGGGAUAACAGGCUAAUAGCGCCCAAGCGCCCACAGCGACGGCGCUGUUUGGCACCUCGAUGUCGGCUCAUCUCAUCCUGGGGGUGAAGAAGCUCCCAAGGGUUUGGCUGUUCGCCAAUUAAAGAGGUACGCGAGCUGGGUUCAGAACGUCGUGAGACAGUUCGGUCCAUAUCUUCUGUGGCCGUUGGAAAUUUGAGGGAAUCUGCUCCUAGUACGAGAGGACCGGAGUGGACGAACCUCUGGUGUACCAGUUGUCCUGUCCAGGGCACUGCUGGGUAGCUACGUUCGGUCGUGAUAACCGCUGAAAGCAUCUAAGCGGGAAGCCGUACCCGAGAUUAAAUUUCCCCAUAGCCUCCAGGAAGACUACCUGGUUGAUAGGCCUCAGGUGUACGCACAGCAAUGUGUUUAGCCGAGAGGUACUAAUAGGCGAUUGAACUUA
rnacentral:rRNA from 1 species